UACCUUGUUACGACUUCACCCCAAUCAUCGGCCCCACCUUCGACGACUUGCUCCUCUUUCAAGGUUGCUCCAUCGGCUUCGGGUGUUGCAGACUUUCGUGGUGUGACGGGCGGUGUGUACAAGGCCCGGGAACGUAUUCACCGCGGCGUGCUGAUCCGCGAUUACUAGCGAUUCCGACUUCAUGCAGGCGAGUUGCAGCCUGCAAUCCGAACUGAGACCUGCUUUUUGGGAUUGGCUCCACCUCACGGCUUCGCUACCCUUUGUACAGGCCAUUGUAGCACGUGUGUAGCCCAGGUCAUAAAGGGCAUGAUGAUUUGACGUCAUCCCCACCUUCCUCCGGUUUGUCACCGGCAGUCUCUCUAGAGUGCCCACCUUCCGUGCUGGCAACUAAAGAUAAGGGUUGCGCUCGUUGCGGGACUUAACCCAACAUCUCACGACACGAGCUGACGACAACCAUGCACCACCUGUCUCCCUGUCUGUCCGAAGACAAAACAUCUAAUCUCUUAGACUCUCAGGGGAUGUCAAGACCUGGUAAGGUUCUUCGCGUUGCGUCGAAUUAAACCACAUGCUCCACCGCUUGUGCGGGCCCCCGUCAAUUCCUUUGAGUUUCAACCUUGCGGCCGUACUCCCAGGCGGGGUACUUAUUGUGUUAACUCCGCACAGAAGGGGCGAUACCUCUACACCUAGUCCCAUGGUUACGGCGUGGACUACAGGGUAUCUAAUCCUGUUUGCUCCCACGGUUUUGUGGCUCAGGGUUAGUUAAAGUCAGGGAGCGCCUUUGCACUUGGGGUCCUCAUACUUUUUCGGAUUUACCGCAU
rnacentral:rRNA from 1 species